UGCACAGACUCAUUGGACAAAGU
rnacentral:piRNA from 1 species